rnacentral:rRNA from 1 species
GAUGAACGCUGGCGGCGUGCCUAAUACAUGCAAGUCGAGCGAACGGACGAGAAGCUUGCUUCUCUGAUGUUAGCGGCUGACGUGUGAGUAACACGUGGAUAACCUACCUAUAAGACUGGGAUAACUUCGUGAAACCGGAGCUAAUACCGGAUAAUAUUUUGAACCGCAUGGUUCAAAAGUGAAAGACGGUCUUGCUGUCACUUAUAGAUGGAUCCGCGCUGCAUUAGCUAGUUGGUAAGGUAACGGCUUACCAAGGCAACGAUGCAUAGCCCACCUGACAGGGUUCUCCGCCUCACUGGAACUGACACACGGUCCACUCUCCUACGGCAGGCAGCAGUGGGGAAUCUUCCGACGUGCGCCAAAGUCUGACGGAGCAACGCCGCGUGAGUGAUGACAGUCUUCGGAUCGUACAACUCUCUUAUUAGUGAAGACAAUAUGUGUACGUAACUGUGCACCUCUUGGCGGUACCUAAACAGAAAGCAACGGCCAACCCCGUC